rnacentral:rRNA from 1 species
UGGGGAAUUAUUGCACAAUGGGCGCAAGCCUGAUGCAGCCAUGCCGCGUGUGUGAAGAAAGGCCUUCGGGUUGUAAAGCACUUUCAGCGAGGAGGAAGGUGGUGAGCUUAAUACGCUCAUCAAUUGACGUUACUCGCAGAAGAAGCACCGGCUAACUCCGUGCCAGCAGCCGCGGUAAUACGGAGGGUGCAAGCGUUAAUCGGAAUUACUGGGCGUAAAGCGCACGCAGGCGGUUUUGUUAAGUCAGAUGUGAAAUCCCCGGGCUCAACCUGGGAACUGCAUUUGAAACUGGCAAGCUAGAGUCUCGUAGAGGGGGGUAGAAUUCCAGGUGUAGCGGUGAAAUGCGUAGAGAUCUGGAGGAAUACCGGUGGCGAAGGCGGCCCCCUGGACGAAGACUGACGCUCAGGUGCGAAA